ensembl:snoRNA
CUACCACUUCCACAGGUCCUCCCUGAGGCAGUGAGGCUAGGAUUUGGUAGCUGGAGCUGAGAGAAGACCCUUGAUGGCAUCUUUGCCCUGGGACUCUGCCAGUGGCAACUAUCACUCAAGGGGCAGAG